UACGGAGGGUGCAAGCGUUGUCCGGAUUUAUUGGGUUUAAAGGGUGCGUAGGCGGCUAUUUAAGUCAGCGGUGAAAGACUUCGGCUCAACCGGAGCAGUGCCAUUGAUACUGGAUAGCUUGAGUGUUGGAGGGGUACAUGGAAUUGAUGGUGUAGCGGUGAAAUGCAUAGAUACCAUCAGGAACACCGAUAGCGAAGGCAUUGUACUGGCCAACAACUGACGCUGAGGCACGAAAGUGUGGGGAUCGAACAGG
rnacentral:rRNA from 1 species